UUGCGAAGCAGAACUCGCCAAUUGUUGGAUUGUUCACCCACUAAUAGGGAACGUGAGCUGGGUUUACACCGUCGUGAGACAGGUCAGUUUUACCCUAC
rnacentral:rRNA from 1 species